rnacentral:rRNA from 1 species
GUGGGGAAUCUUCCGCAAUGGACGAAAGUCUGACGGAGCAACGCCGCGUGAGUGAAGAAGGUUUUCGGAUCGUAAAGCUCUUUCGUUAGGGACGAACGUGCUCUUUGUGAAUAAUGAGGAGUAAUGACGGUACCUAAAUAAGAAGCCACGGCUAACUACGUGCCAGCAGCCGCGGUAAUACGUAGGUGGCAAGCGUUGUCCGGAAUUAUUGGGCGUAAAGCGCGCGCAGGCGGGAUAUCAAGUCUGUCUUAAAAGUGCGAGGCUCAACCUCGUGAGGGGACAGAAACUGGUAUUCUUGAGUGUCGGAGAGGAAAGUGGAAUUCCAAGUGUAGCGGUGAAAUGCGAAGAGAUUUGGAAGAACACCAGUGGCGAAGGCGACUUUCUGGACGAUGUCUGACGCUGAGGCGCGAAAGCUAGGGGAGCGAACGGGAUUAGAUACCCGGGUAGUCC